rnacentral:piRNA from 2 species
AGACAGACAGACAGACAGACAGACAG